rnacentral:rRNA from 1 species
UACGUAGGGCGCAAGCGUUAUCCGGAAUUAUUGGGCGUAAAGAGCUCGUAGGCGGUUUGUCGCGUCUGCCGUGAAAGUCCGGGACUCAACUCCGGAUCUGCGGUGGGUACGGGCAGACUAGAGUGCAGUAGGGGAGACUGGAAUUCCUGGUGUAGCGGUGAAAUGCGCAGAUAUCAGGAGGAACACCGAUGGCGAAGGCAGGUCUCUGGGCUGUAACUGACGCUGAGGAGCGAAAGCAUGGGGAGCGAACAGG